CGGUCGGAAAUCGGUCGCAGAGUAUAAAGGCAAAAGCGCGCUUGACUGCGAGACAGACACGUCGAGCAGGUACGAAAGUAGGUCUUAGUGAUCCGGUGGUUCUGUAUGGAAGGGCCAUCGCUCAACGGAUAAAAGGUACUCCGGGGAUAACAGGCUGAUACCGCCCAAGAGUUCAUAUCGACGGCGGUGUUUGGCACCUCGAUGUCGGCUCAUCACAUCCUGGGGCUGAAGCCGGUYCCAAGGGUAUGGCUGUUCGCCAUUUAAAGUGGUACGCGAGCUGGGUUUAGAACGUCGUGAGACAGUUCGGUCCCUAUCUGCCGUGGACGUUUGAGAUUUGAGAGGGGCUGCUCCUAGUACGAGAGGACCGGAGUGGACGAACCUCUGGUGUUCCGGUUGUCACGCCAGUGGCAUUGCCGGGUAGCUAUGUUCGGAAAAGAUAACCGCUGAAAGCAUCUAAGCGGGAAACUUGCCUCAAGAUGAGAUCUCACUGGGAACUUGAUUCCCCUGAAGGGCCGUCGAAGACUACGACGUUGAUAGGCUGGGUGUGUAAGCGUUGUGAGGCGUUGAGCUAACCAGUACUAAUUGCCCGUGAGGCUUGACCAUAUAACACCCAAACA
rnacentral:rRNA from 1 species